UGUAAAUUUGUUUAGUUUAUUUUUAUUUCUUUUUUUUAAUUUUUAAUGUUCAGCAGUAUCAUUAAAUAACAAUAAAUAAAUAAUAAAAUAAUAUAAUUAAUAAAUUGGAAAUUUAAAUUAAAUAUUAAUUUGUCUCCCAAUUACCUUUGAGAGACAAAUGACGUGGUUAAUAGCCUUUAUUAUAGGUAUUACACGAUAAUGUAAAGAUUACAACCAAUAGGAUGAGUCUAAAAGCUUACGUCACCAAUGUAGACGGAGGAAAGUCGGGGGAAGGAUUAUGCGCAAACACAAUGAGUAUAGAAUUUUUGCCGUCAUACCUAUUUAAUUUAUCAUGUGGGUAACAUUAUAUUAUGAUGAUUAUAUACAAUUAACUACAUAGACAGUACAGGGGCGGUGCGUCAUGGAAAAUUUUAGACGGCGUCUUCGCAGUCAUAGUCCUGGGAAUAUCAAAAUUAUUUAUUUAAUGUAAUGGUUUUUUAUAAACGUGUUAUAGUUACUUUAAAUACAUUGUAUAAAAUAAAAGGAAAAAAAACAUCUUAGUAAUGAAAUAAAACCAAUACAUUCUUCGUUACGCUCAAAAUCUAAAAUGGUAAAUUCUAUUGACUAUAAUUCAAACUUGUAGCUUAUCUAGCUACUUUUUAGAUUGUCUAAAAAACUUGAGAAUGCAUAUAAAUCCGGGACCUAGUAAUAAGAUAUAAAAAUUGUUUUAAAUCCUAAAUUGUGUUCAUAAAAAUAUUAAACUAUAACAUACCUAUCCAAAUAUUUCAACAACAUGUCAAAUAUUUCUAACUUUACCCGUGACUUUAGAAUCUUGCGAACGAAGUUUUAAUAAGUUAGAAUUAAUCAAACCCUAUCAUCGAUUUUUAUCAAAUCAAGACAGACACAACCCAACAUUCAAUUAUUUUAAUUGAAAAUCAAGUAGCCACAAAAUUAGAUUAUGACGAUAUUAUAAAUGGUUUUUCCGCCAAAAGAAUCAAGAGAAAUCAAAGACUAUUGAUAAUUUGUAAUUUUUGUUAAACUUAAUUUAAAUACCUAUAAUCAAUAGUCAAUUUACUAAAAAUUAUUCUUAUGUAUUAGCUAACUUGUUAUAAUCCUAUAUUAUUUUUUAUAUUUAAUAUUCACCAUUUAUAGGCACAUCUUUCCCAUUGAGCACUUGAGGCACGUGCCCUUUGCGCCGCGAUCGAUAAGGAUCCAAGCUCUUCUCAGAUCACUAACCGAUAAUCGAUAUUCAUUACCAAUAAAUAAACUCAUUUCGAGAAAAAUCAAAGGAUAAGCACUAAUAAUAAUAACAAUAAUAAUAAUAAUAAUAAUAAUAAUACAAUCGACAGUCGACACAGGUCGAUUGACCGACCGCACGGUACACGCACACAUAAUACAUAUAUAAAUAUUUAUAAACAAACAGAUGCAGGGUACACCGGUUUGAAAAAUCUGAAUUCUACAGCCUUGUGAUAAUGUUGCAAAGAACUUGCCAAAAACUAUUACGAUGACGUUAAUUAAACAGAGUUAGAAACGGAAUGUGUGCA